rnacentral:rRNA from 1 species
CCUAACACAUGCAAGUCGAACGGUAACAGGAAGCAGCUUGCUGCUUCGCUGACGAGUGGCGGACGGGUGAGUAAUGUCUGGGAAGCUGCCUGAUGGAGGGGGAUAACUACUGGAAACGGUAGCUAAUACCGCAUAAUGUCGCAAGACCAAAGAGGGGGACCUUCGGGCCUCUUGCCAUCGGAUGUGCCCAGAUGGGAUUAACUUGUUGGUGGGGUAACGGCUCACCAAGGCGACGAUCCCUAGCUGGUCUGAGAGGAUGACCAGCCACACUGGAACUGAGACACGGUCCAGACUCCUACGGGAGGCAGCAGUGGGGAAUAUUGCACAAUGGGCGCAAGCCUGAUGCAGCCAUGCCGCGUGUAUGAAGAAGGCCUUCGGGUUGUAAAGUACUUUCAGCGGGGAGGAGGGGAGUAAAGUUAAUACCUUUGCUCAUUGACGUUACCCGCAGAAGAAGCACCGGCUAACUCCGUGCCAGC